AAAUAAAUUGCAGAAAUACUAAAUCGCAUCUAAUUUUUAUAAUUAAUAUUAUUGUUAUUAUUGUUAUUAUAUUUUAAUUUCAGCGUAGGGGGAAACGGCCGGUUUAACUGUGUUUUACCACGACGUGAACAUUUCUAUUUUCUUUCUUUUUUUUGCUUCUGUAAACAAAAAUUACCGCCCGAAAUCUCGUUCCGAUAUCGAUUUCAGGGGUGAUUCAUGACGGUAGACAAUUUCGUCUGUUCGGCGAUACGUCGAGCAGUGUAAUAAUAGGUGGUCUUUCUCGUUGUUUCCAUAUUACAAUAAUUGGGAAAGAUCGGUGUACACAACAAUGCGUGUAUAAUAUUAACCGCGCGUUUUCACGUUUUCGUCGUUUUAUAUUCUCUUGUUUUGUCGGUCUCGCUAACAAGACGUCGUCGUCGUCGUCGUCGUGAUGCAGCGAUCCUUGUAGUCUUCGUCACACAUAAAUACUCGUGCCAUCACGCACGUCCGUUACCCGUUAUAAAUUCAUUAGUCGGUUAAUUGUUUCGGUAAACCGACGACGCCACCGUGUAGCGCGUAUGCGUAUACGGUUAUCGUCUCGGGUAUCUGUCUGCAGUGUUAAUAUAUAUACGGUAUGUACAUAUAAGAAAAAAAAAAAAACCACAAUCAAUGGAAACGUAUAUAUGACCUAAUGCAUUUUAUACAAACCGUGUUGACGAUCGUUUUUAUCUGCGUUUCUGGUAUAUCAUAAUAAAAAAAUAUAUAUCUAGUUUCUGAUGCAUAGUGUAAAUCGGGCGUGUACACAAUAAUCACUCUCGCGGUAAUGAAAACAACACGAUUUCAGAUUCUGAACGUAUCGAGGGACGGUAUUGGUUUUUUACUCGUAACGAUACAACAAUAUGCGCGCAAUGGAUACUCCGUAUCGGUUGUCAGGCUGAGACUUUCGACGGCUGAGGCUCGUCUGCGAUAAACCAUGACGUACAAUCGGUUUUCGCGACGAUAAAUAAUUCACG